CUUUACGAAUGACACACACAAUGGAGAAGGUCAUGCUCUUUUGUGCUUUUUCAUACAGAAUAAUUCAGAUCACUUCCAGCGGUAAAUUGAUUCUACUUUACGAUUUCACAUAACUGACCUUUUUAAACUUAAAUAUGUUUUUAUCGAAAAUUUUUUUUCCAGAUGUUUCAGAACAUGAUGUGAGUAUUUUACGAGUCCGGCUGAAUGAAAGCAUCCGUCUGAACUGCAGCAUGACCGACAGAUAUGAAAUCUCCUGGUAUCACCAGAAUCCUGAGUCUGGGCAACUAACACUACUGAUGUCUGCUAAGACCAGCAGUGUAGCGGGAAGAAAACUGCUCGUUAGGUACAAUCAAAACUGGAGUCGUCUGACAGUGAAAGCAGAUGUGGAGAUCAACACAGUCUCGCUAGUUAUUUCUGGACUAACAGAGUCAGAUGCAGGUCUUUAUUUCUGUGGAACAAAAUCAGUGGAAAUGCACUUCAACAAACCCAUCAGACUACAGAUGGAGGACGGAGAGGACAAAGCUCAUUCUGUCACAGAACCGCCGGAGGAUGCUGAGGUCACAGGUGAGAGCGGAAAUCACUCUUGUUCGUGUCGUAUCACUAUUAAUUCUUCAGUCAAGUG
rnacentral:lncRNA from 1 species